rnacentral:rRNA from 1 species
AACGUAGGAGACAAACGUUAUCCGGAGUUACUGGGCGUAAAGGGCGUGUAGGCGGUUUGUUAAGUCUGGCGUGAAAGCUCUCGGCUAAACCGGGAGAGGUCGUUGGAUACUGGCAAACUAGAGGACGGUAGAGGCGUGUGGAAUUCCGGGUGUAGUGGUGAAAUGCGUAGAUAUCUGGAGGAACACCGGUGGCGAAGGCGGCAUCCUGGACCAACACUGACGCUGAGGAGCGAAAGCCAGGGGAGCAAACGGG